UGAUGGGCCGGGUGUGUAAGCGCAGCGAUGCGUUGAGCUAACCGGUACUAAUGAACCGUGAGGCUUAACCUUACAACGCCGAAG
rnacentral:rRNA from 1 species